rnacentral:rRNA from 1 species
CCUACGGGCGGCAGCAGUGGGGAAUAUUGCACAAUGGGGGAAACCCUGAUGCAGCGACGCCGCGUGAGUGAAGGAGUAUUUCGGUACGUAAAGCUCUAUCAGCAGGGAAGAAAAUGACGGUACCUGACCAAGAAGCCCCGGCUAACUACGUGCCAGCAGCCGCGGUAAUACGUAGGGGGCAAGCGUUAUCCGGAUUUACUGGGUGUAAAGGGAGCGUAGACGGCAGAGCAAGUCUGGAGUGAAAUGCCGGGGCCAAACCCCGGAACUGCUUUUGAAACUGUGCAGCUGGAGUGCAGGAGAGGUAGGCGGAAUUCCUGGUGUAGCGGUGAAAUGCGUAGAUAUUAGGAGGAACACCGGUGGCGAAGGCGGCUGACUGGACUGUAAUUGACGUUGAGGCUCGAAAGCGUGGGGAGCAAACAGGAUUAGAUACCCUUGUAGUC